GACGAACGCUGGCGGCGUGCUUAACACAUGCAAGUCGAACGGAAAGGCCUUUUUCGGGGGGUACUCGCGUGGCGAACGGGUGAGUAACACGUGUGUAACAUGCCCUUGACUUUGGGAUAACUUCAGGAAACUCGGGCUAAUACCGGAUAGGAGCUCCUGCUGCACGGUGUGGGGUGGAGAGUUUCGGCGGUUGGGGAUUGGCUCGCGGCUUAUAAGCUUGUUGGUGGGGGAGUGGCUUACCAAGGCUUUGACGGGUAGACGGCCUGGGAGGGUGACCGGCCACAUUUGGGCUGAGAUACGGGCCAGGCUCCUACGGGAGGGCACAGUUGGGAAUAUUGCACAAUGGGUGGAAGCCUGAUGCAGCCACGCCGUGUGCGGGAUGACGGCCUUCGGGUUGUAAACCGCGUUCGCUCAUUACGGAGCUUUGUGUGACGGUAGUGGGUAAAGAAGCACCGGCUAACUACGUG
rnacentral:rRNA from 1 species